rnacentral:rRNA from 1 species
CAGGCCUAACACAUGCAAGUCGAACGAGAAGGGCCCUUCGGGGCUGAGUAAAGUGGCGGACGGGUGAGUAACGCGUAGGAAUCUACCCGGCAGUGGGGGAUAACUCGGGGAAACUCGAGCUAAUACCGCAUGCGACCGGUGCCUUAGGGUGCCGAUGAAAGCGGGGGAUCUCGCCGUGGCGGUUUCGGCCGCAGCGGAAGACCUCGCGCUGUCGGAGGAGCCUGCGUUGGAUUAGCUUGUUGGUGGGGUAAUGGCCUACCAAGGCGACGAUCCAUAGCUGGUCUGAGAGGACGAUCAGCCACACUGGGACUGAGACACGGCCCAGACGGCUACGGUCGGCAGCAGGUGGGAAUCUUGCACAAUGGGCGAAAGCCUGAUGCAGCCAUGCCGCGUGUGUGAAGAAGGCCUUAGGGUUGUAAAGCACUUUCAGUGGCGAAGAAAAGGUCGGCGUUAAUAGCGCCGACCCUUGACGUUAACCACAGAAGAAGCACCGGCCAACUCCGUGCCAGCAGCCGCGGUAAUACGGAGGGUGCGAACGUUAAUCGGAAUUACUGGGCGUAAAGCGCGCGUAGGCGGUUUGUUAAGUGGGAUGUGAAAUCCCCGGGCUCAACCUGGGAACUGCAUUUCAAACUGACAAACUAGAGUUCAGUAGAGGGAGGUGGAAUUUCCUGUGUAGCGGUGAAAUGCGUAGAUAUAGGGAGGAACACCAGUGGCGAAGGCGGCCUCCUG